GAUUAACGCUGGCGGCGUGCAUAACACAUGCAAGUCGAACGAUGAAACUCAUUAGAUUUCUUCGGAAUGAAAAUGAAUGGAUUAGUGGCGAACGGGUGAGUAACGCGUGAGUAACCUGCCUUACACAAGGGGAUAGCCUCUGGAAACGGAGAAUAAUACCCUAUGAAACCAGACAAUCGCAUGAUAAUCUGGUCAAAAUGUUUAGUGGUGUAAGAUGGACUUGCGUCUGAUUAGCUAGUUGGUGAGAUAAAAGCUCACCAAGGCAACGAUCAGUAGCCGGCUUGAGAGAGUGUACGGCCACAUUGGGACUGAGACACGGCCCAGACUCCUACGGGAGGCAGCAGUGGGGAAUUGUGCACAAUGGGGGAAACCCUGAUGCAGCGACGCCGCGUGAUUUAGAAGGCCUUCGGGUUGUAAAAAUCUUUUGUAUAGGAAGAAAAUGACAGUACUAUACGAAUAAGGUCCGGCUAAUUACGUG
rnacentral:rRNA from 1 species